rnacentral:misc_RNA from 1 species
GAUGAAGAACGUAGCGAAAUGCGAUAAGUAAUGUGAAUUGCAGAAUUCAGUGAAUCAUCGAAUCUUUGAACGCACAUUGCGCCCGCCAGUAUUCUGGCGGGCAUGCCUGUCUGAGCGUCAUUUCAACCAUCAAGCCCCCGGCUUGUGUUGGGGACCUGCGGCUGCCGCAGGCCCUGAAAACCAGUGGCGGGCUCGCUAGUCACUCCGAGCGUAGUAAUACAUCUCGCUCAGGGCGUGCUGCGGGUUCCGGCCGUUAAAAGCCUUAUUUACCCAAGGUUGACCUCGGAUCAGGUAGGAAGACCCGCUGAACUUAAGCAUAUCAAUAAGCGGAGGA